CGGCGGACGGGUGAGUAACACGUGGAUAACCUACCUAUAAGACUGGGAUAACUUCGGGAAACCGGAGCUAAUACCGGAUAAUAUAUUGAACCGUAUGGUUCAAUGGUGAAAGACGGUUUUGCUGUCACUUAUAGAUGGAUCCGCGCCGCAUUAGCUAGUUGGUAAGGUAACGGCUUACCAAGGCAACGAUGCGUAGCCGACCUGAGAGGGUGAUCGGCCACACUGGAACUGAGACACGGUCCAG
rnacentral:rRNA from 1 species